rnacentral:rRNA from 1 species
GGCGUGGCGUGAGGUAGCGGUAGCGGAGCGGCGGCAAGGGGCGUUGGGGGGACACACAGCUGGGUUAGAGUUAGAGUGCCUAUAGUGGGCUGCCCUGCCCUGGGCCGCGGAGCAGGAGAGGUCUAGAAUGCGGGCGGGCGGGCGGGCUCCACUCGCUAACCUCAAGGCUAACCAACCAUCCGCGACCAAGCAUCCAGAGCCUAGGUCGGUCGCACCAGAGAGCAAGGCUAACACCAACCAUCCGCGGACCAGAACAUAGGAAAGGACGGACCGAAACUCAUAAGCAUACUGAUCCUAUCCUAAAUUGAUCCCAAACAAACCAUUGUGGUGGGUCCCAAGCUAAUAGGCAUUAUUCCUUAGUUAGACUGCAAAAUCAAUCCCAAACGAACCAUUGUGUGUGUCGCAGCCAACAUUAAGACCUCUACGUUAAAAGAACGAGUGUUAUUACGUUACUUACUACCCUAGAGAUAGAUGAAACUUGGUUUAAUAUAAUAUAAGGGAGACAAUUAAUAAAAAGACAAAACCCAUAAGCAAGAAAAACAAAUCAACGGAUAGUCAUAUCAUGUACCAACUUAACGACGAAAGUGAAGUAUAAUUAUUGAUAAGACAGCGUGUUACGUUUAUACGACGACAUACCAGAGAAGGACUGUAAUUUAGGAGGAGACAAACACGACAUGGUCGACCAUCGUCGUUGAGAAGACGACGUCAGGCGGUUUUCCUUUACUGCUUCGAGAUGUUUUAGGCGAGGGUACGGGUGUAGGCUCGGGACGACCGGGCGCGGCUACUCGACCCGGCGAGGGUAUUCAAGUACGAACACUUAGAACAGAGAGACCUCAGCCACGCGUACCGCGCGCUCAGCAUACGUGAGGAGACGGGCGAGUAGUACCUCCGCUACAAGACCAGUACGCCCCUCGACCUAAGGGAGAGCCAGCACCGUCCGAACAGCGACCUUUAGGUUUUCGAGCUCGUUCUAGACAAUGGGGUCGAGUACCAAGUACUCCGGUUCGACCUUGCCCCGCGGGACCUUCGGGAGCAUGAGUACUUCUUGAGUCGUUAAUGCGAGAAUGUAGACUCAUUCACGAAAUUCCUUCGGAACCCGCAUAACGAACGGUUCCUCCUAGACCAGAGUCUGGCUCAGCUUGUCGACUCGUAUUACGAUUUCCUAUGACGACAAUUACAUGAGCUUCCAUUUACGUUGCCACAGACCGAAGUCCCCGCACAGGACACCGACCAGGUCGACCAGUUGGUACACAACCUCUGGGGCCAAGCAAAGACACUAGGACUACUCAAAGGACUACUCGAUCUGAAUAGUCGGACGAGCUCCGACAACACUACUCAUAAAGAAUCCCCGCACCGUUUGUCAAAUCUUAGUUUACAACGCUACAUAAAGAACCUGGGAGGAAAUACAAACCUACACAAUGAUUACCUAAAAUUUACUAUACAUAGAACCC